GUUUGAUCCUGGCUCAGAUUGAACGCUGGCGGCAGGCCUAACACAUGCAAGUCGAGCGGUAGAGAGGUGCUUGCACCUCUUGAGAGCGGCGGACGGGUGAGUAAUGCCUAGGAAUCUGCCUGGUAGUGGGGGAUAACGCUCGGAAACGGACGCUAAUACCGCAUACGUCCUACGGGAGAAAGCAGGGGACCUUCGGGCCUUGCGCUAUCAGAUGAGCCUAGGUCGGAUUAGCUAGUUGGUGGGGUAAUGGCUCACCAAGGCGACGAUCCGUAACUGGUCUGAGAGGAUGAUCAGUCACACUGGAACUGAGACACGGUCCAGACUCCUACGGGAGGCAGCAGUGGGGAAUAUUGGACAAUGGGCGAAAGCCUGAUCCAGCCAUGCCGCGUGUGUGAAGAAGGUCUUCGGAUUGUAAAGCACUUUAAGUUGGAGGAAGGGCAUUAACCUAAUACGUUAGUGUUUUGACGUUACCGACAGAAUAAGCACCGGCUAACUCUGUGCCAGCAGCCGCGGUAAUACAGAGGGUGCAAGCGUUAAUCGGAAUUACUGGGCGUAAAGCGCGCGUAGGUGGUUCGUUAAGUUGGAUGUGAAAUCCCCGGGCUCAACCUGGGAACUGCAUUCAAAACUGUCGAGCUAGAGUAUGGUAGAGGGUGGUGGAAUUUCCUGUGUAGCGGUGAAAUGCGUAGAUAUAGGAAGGAACACCAGUGGCGAAGGCGACCACCUGGACUGAUACUGACACUGAGGUGCGAAAGCGUGGGGAGCAAACAGGAUUAGAUACCCUGGUAGUCCACGCCGUAAACGAUGUCAACUAGCCGUUGGGAGCCUUGAGCUCUUAGUGGCGCACGUAACGCAUUAAGUUGACCGCCUGGGGAGUACGGCCGCAAGGUUAAAACUCAAAUGAAUUGACGGGGGCCCGCACAAGCGGUGGACGAUGUGGUUUAAUUCGAAGCAACGCGAAGAACCUUACCAGGCCUUGACAUCCAAUGAACUUUCCAGAGAUGGAUUGGUGC
rnacentral:rRNA from 1 species